rnacentral:lncRNA from 1 species
CGGCUGCCAGGAGCUCAGCAUCUCCGCUGCCUGCCCCCGGCUCUGCCCCCGCAGACCUCCGCACAAACCCUCUCUCCCUUCCCUGCGCCGGCAGGGCGGACGGGAGCUGGGAGGAAAAGCUGCCACAGUGCGCUAGAUGGGAUUCCUCCCGGGGAAGAGGAGGGAAGGGAAAAGGAGAACCCCGCGCGCACUUUCCCAUCCAAGGUUCCCGAUCUCGCCGAGCACUGGAAAAGCCUCUUCUCCCCCCAGACCCCGCCGGGCAGGACCGGGCAUGCGCAGCAGGAACAGCCUCCCAUCCCUCGGUGUGUAACCCCCGCCCCGGGUGAGUAUGGCAAAGCCCUCCCCUCUCCGACCCCCCUCUCUUCCCUCUCCUCAUCCUCUCCAGGCCUUCUUCCCAGCCAGGUUUCCUCUCUUCCCCGCACACCGGGGCUCAGCGAACCCUGGCGGGCACCGCUCUCCUCGCUCCAGCCCGGCUGCCCCACACCUUGCCCUGCCGCCGAGGGACUCCGGCACUGCUCCCCUAGCCACCAGGGCACAACCAGCACCCCGGGACAGCUCCCCAGGACCACGGGGAAGCUCCAGCAGGUCUGGAGAAUUUUAAAUGUUUGCGUUUUAUUUUUUUAGCGUAAUGACGAGCGCACUGGGCUGCAUCCCACGGCACUGAGGGGUGUUCCCCGCUCUCCUAACAAUCCUGCGUAACAGGGGUAAGCCGUGCUCAUCCUCUCCUCUUUCCAUUCCCAACAGGCCUGCUAGCCAAGUCAUUUCCCUAAAAGCUUCUCUGUCACCACUUCUUUCUAGAUGCUUCAACAUGCACGGCUCAAAAUGCUGCUGGGAAAUCACAUGUUCCGUUUAGAUCACUGCUUCCCUUUGCCUCUACAGGGACAGAGACACGAGGAUGGAAAGCCCUGGUGCACUUUUGUUGUCUCCACCUCUCAGGGUUACGGCUUCUGCCUCUCACUGCUUGCUUAUCAUUUGUUAUUCAUAGUCCCAAAAGCAAGCAUGCCAAAUCUUUGCUGAAGGAGAAUGUUCAAGAUUCUAAACACACGUUAACUGACUUGAUCCCAUCUUAGGGUUUUUCUCCAGC